AUUGAACGCUGGCGGCAUGCCUUACACAUGCAAGUCGAACGGUAACAGGUCUUCGGAUGCUGACGAGUGGCGAACGGGUGAGUAAUACAUCGGAACGUGCCUAGUAGUGGGGGAUAACUACUCGAAAGAGUGGCUAAUACCGCAUGAGAUCUACGGAUGAAAGCAGGGGAUCGCAAGACCUUGUGCUACUAGAGCGGCCGAUGGCAGAUUAGGUAGUUGGUGGGAUAAAAGCUUACCAAGCCGACGAUCUGUAGCUGGUCUGAGAGGACGAUCAGCCACACUGGGAAUGGGGCGCGGCCCAGACUCCUACGGGAGGGAGCAGUGGGGAAUUUUGGACAAUGGGCGCAAGCUUGAUCCAGAAAUGCCGCGUGCAGAAUGAAGGCCUUCGGGUUGUAAACUGCUUUUGUACGGAACGAAAAGCCUUGGGUUAAUACGCUGGGGUCAUGACGGUACCGUAAGAAUAAGCACCGGCUAACUCUGUGCCAGCCGCCGCGGUAACAC
rnacentral:rRNA from 1 species